rnacentral:rRNA from 1 species
AGGUGGGAUAGAUGAUUGGGGUGAAGUCGUAACAAGGUAGCCGUAUCGGAAGGUGCGGCUGGAUCACCUCCUUUCUAAGGA